UACGUAGGGUGCGAGCGUUGUCCGGAAUUAUUGGGCGUAAAGGGCUCGUAGGCGGUUUGUCGCGUCGGGAGUGAAAUCCACUGGCUUAACUGGUGGCUUGCUUUCGAUACGGGGCAGACUGGAGGUAUGCAGGGGAGAACGGAAUUCCUGGUGUAGCGGUGAAAUGCGCAGAUAUCAGGAGGAACACCGAUGGCGAAGGCAGAUCUCUGGGCCGUAACUGACGCUGAGGAGCGAAAGCGUGGGGAGCGAACAGG
rnacentral:rRNA from 1 species